rnacentral:sRNA from 1 species
AUUUGCUCGACUUGGACGAGGAGCUGCGCUACAGCUUGGCUACCUCCGUGAGGACCAAUGCGGGGGCCUUGGGGGCCAGGAUUUGGCGGGUGGGGAGGAGCGACCCCGCCGGCCCCGACUUCUCUGAGGCGACUCAGGGCGGCAGGCCUCGAGCCGCGCCGGGUGAGGCCCAGAAGGAGGCAGCCUCACCGCCCCGCCCCCAGGCCACUGUGGGCUCCGCCGCUGCUGGCCUGGGGUUUGCUUUCUUUAAAAUCCUCAGAAAGUAGAAAACACCCUGUCCCCGCCGGCGUCUAGGACCGUGGGAAAUUUCCGAGCCUUUCUCCGUUUUCUAGAGCCCCGAGUGCGAACUUCCCCAGAACAGAUCGAUCACAGGGUGAUGGGGGAGCCCCGGCCGGGGUCGCACUCGCUCCCAUCCUAGAGUUUUUCCUUUGGGACACCUCAUCGCAGAAGUUCCUGCAAAAGCCGCACUGUUUUAUGCAUGGAAGGGAGGCAGGCAGGGACGGCCUUUCUUCCCGAGGGCCAAGAUGGGUCGCCGAGCUCAACAGGAGUCAGCGCAGGCCGAGAAUCAUCUCAAUGGCAAGAAUUCCUCUUUGACUCUGACUGGAGAGACUUCCUCUCCUAAAUUACCUCGCUGCCGACAGGGAGGCUGGGCAGGUGAUUCCGUGAAGGCUUCGAAGUGAGUAC